rnacentral:lncRNA from 1 species
GCACUCCACCGCCACCGUCGCCAAUCGCCAGCCUUCCAUGCGCGUCUGACACCACCUGCAACACACAAAAGAAGAAGACAACAAACACAAUCCAAAUAGCAAACAAACAAAAAAUAGAAAUUAAGAAGUCGUGUGGAUCGGCUAUAAAAGCCUAGAAUAUCGCCCUUGUAUUUUUCUUCGAUUUUUCUUUAUAAAAGACGCAUACCAAAGAAUCAAAGGAGAAGAAAAGGUUGCCCAUUCGUGUUCUUCGUUUUUUUUCUCUGUCGAUUUAGUUUUUUUUUCUUUUUACGAAAUUGUUUUUAUCUUUUUUUAAAAAAAAACUAUUGAUAUAAAAAAAUAAAAAGGGAGAAGAGGGGUUACCUGAGCCGACCGGUAGCCCCGCCAUCGGUCUCUUCGCCGCUCUAGGAUCCGAACGCGGGGGAGGGCUAAGGACCCUUUUUCUUUUUUUCUCCGAUUUCUGGCUUUAGGGACUCGGCCUUUAAACGCGCUUCAAAGCGCUGGUCGAAGAGGCGUCUUCGCGCGACGCCGGCUGCCGAACACGGUGGCGCUACGGCGGCAAAUGUGGCCGGUUUCUGGGAUUGAUGAGAGUGGGGGAGGGAGAUUUCUGUUUUUUUUUAAAUGAAAUAGGAGAAAUGAAGUUUGUAAAAAAAAUUGGUUUAAAUAGCAACAAGGAAACGGCGUCAUUUCAAGAGUGGCGACCUGCAUGCGCGACCCAACCUACCAAGGGGAUCCGCGCGUUUCAUGAAAUGGGCUAUUUUCGCCCUUGGUCCUUCCUCGUUGUUGACUGUUUUAAUUUAGUCCUUUUGCUUGUUUGUUUGUUUUCUUUAAUUUGGCCCCACGCACUUUCUUCAUGUUUCAAUUUAGUCAGCGCGCGAUUGCUGUGCCUCAGGACUUGGGCAUAUUGCCCGAUAAGUCCUUCGCACUUUGCGCGUGCUUCAUUCCAUCCCCCGAACCUCUUAUUUGUGAAUUUGGC